AGCAGCCGCGGUAAUUCCAGCUCCAAUAGCGUAUAUUAAAGUUGUUGCAGUUAAAAAGCUCGUAGUUGAAUUUCGGGAUCAGUUGGUCGGUCGUGCCUCGGUACGUACUGGUCAAAUUGAUUCCUACCUUCUGACGAACCACGAUGUCAUUAAUUUGGUGUCGCGGGAAAUCGGGACUGUUACUUUGAAAAAAUUAGAGUGUUUAAAGCAGGCUCGCGCUUGAAUACAUUAGCAUGGAAUAAUGAAAUAGGACGUUUGAUCCUAUUUUGUUGGUUUCUAGGAUCGACGUAAUGAUUAAUAGGGAUAGUUGGGGGCAUUAGUAUUCAAUUGUCAGAGGUGAAAUUCUUGGAUUUAUUGAAGACUAACUACUGCGAAAGCAUUUGCCAAGGAUGUUUUCAUUAAUCAAGAACGAAAGUUAGGGGAUCGAAGACGAUCAGAUACCGUCGUAGUCUUAACCAUAAACUAUGCCGACUAGGGAUCGGAUGAUGUUAAUUUUUUAAUGACUCAUUCGGCGCCUUAC
rnacentral:misc_RNA from 1 species